rnacentral:tRNA from 1 species
GCCUUCGUAGUGUAGUGGUUAUCACACUCGACGCGUAUUCGAGAGGUCCUUGGUUCGAGUCCAGACGAGGGCA